UUUUUUCUCAACCCAAACAGGUGAUAUUAAGACAAUAGUUGAAUAGGUUGUGAUGAUCUCGGCAUUGGCACUGAUCUGUCCCACCAGUACACCUGCUCAUCUCCACCGUGUCUGCAAUUAGUCCUCAUUGGUUUCAUCUGUUUUCACCUCCUUAUAAUCCCUGUGCAGAUCAGAUGCCAGUGCCAGAUUGUCUCAAGCAAAUCGUAUGAGCAUUCCAGCGUUCUCGUCCCUGUCUGCCUGUUUCCUGACCCCUGUGUUUCUUCUGAGCCUACCCGUGAACGAACUUGGACUGGACCCGGACUUUCCCUGUUGGACCUCCCUUCUGUACCGCCGCCGGAUAAUUGCCCUCUGUGUACUGGACCUGGACUCCCCCGGAUUACGCCUCUGGAAAAGCCCCUGUCGGAUCCCUGCCUGUUCGCCCGCUACCCUCCACUCCCGGAUCAGUUCGCUUGGGUUUCUGCCGGCUCUCCGGACCCAGCUACCCCAACUUCAGGGGUUAACCACACUAAGCGCGAGCUACUGCGCGUGGAGAGGGCGAGUCCACUUCCUGCUUGUAAAUAAAAACAUUGAAAACGCCACUGACCUGUGUCGGCUG